GACGAACGCUGGCGGCGUGCCUAAUACAUGCAAGUCGAACGAGAGCGCCCGGUGCUUGCACUGGUCAAUCUAGUGGCGCACGGGUGAGUAACACGUGGGUAACCUGCCCAUCAGAGGGGGAUAACAUCCGGAAACGGAUGCUAAAACCGCAUAGGUCUUCGAGCCGCAUGGCUUGAAGAGGAAAAGAGGCGCAAGCUUCUGCUGUUGGGUGGACCCGCGGUGCAUUAGCUAGUUGGUGAGGUAACGGCUCACCAAGGCCGUGAUGCAUAGCCGACCUGAGAGGGUGAUCGGCCACAUUGGGACUGAGACACGGCCCAAACGCCUACGGGAGGCAGCAGUAGGGAAUCUUCCGCAAUGGACGCAAGUCUGACGGAGCAACGCCGCGUGAGUGAAGAAGGUGUUCGGAUCGUAAAACUCUGUUGUUAGAGAAGAACAAGUGCUAGAGUAACUGUUAGCGCCUUGACGGUAGCUAAUCAGAAAGCCACGGCUAACUACGUG
rnacentral:rRNA from 1 species